CACUUGAAGAUUGGACUCAGAGGAAGUGUAAUGGGUGAACACUCAAAGCACAGGAGAAGAGGUAGGUAAUGCUGUUAUUUCAUCAGUGACAACUCUACCAUGGAUACGCUGAUUUUAGACCUUGGAAGUUGUAUGGGACUAUCACAGGACCAUGGCCAAACUUUGGAGUAGGCACUCCUGGGUCCCUGGCCCCAUCUCCAUUUCUACUUUCUGCUCCCUGAAGCUAAAAUCUGUUGAGUUCACGAUCUUCAUUCUGAGAAGCUGGGAUCUUCUGCAUUCAUCUGUAUACAGUUCUUUCCAGUCUCCCUCCUGACUUGAGUGUGCUAAGCCAGGUCCCUGAGGAAGGCAGGAUGCAGCAGGUUUACUCCAUCACAUCCAGAUCAAUAACCAUUAACAUUGUGCAUAGAUGGAGUCCUCCCAGCACUCUACAGAGUGGGCUUUGUCCCUCAUCUCCUCUGGAAGUGCUGAUUUAAAAAAAAAUUCCUGUAGAUCUCAAGCCCCUGGAUUCUUAGAAGCCCUCUGUUCCAAACAACCCAAUCUACUCACUGC
rnacentral:lncRNA from 1 species